rnacentral:rRNA from 1 species
UAGGGAAUCUUCCGCAAUGGGCGAAAGCCUGACGGAGCAAUGCCGCGUGAGUGAAGAAGGCCUUCGGGUCGUAAAACUCUGUUAUAAGAGAAGAACAAAUUGUAGAGUAACUGCUACAGUCUUGACGGUAUCUUAUCAGAAAGCCACGGCUAACUACGUGCCAGCAGCCGCGGUAAUACGUAGGUGGCAAGCGUUGUCCGGAUUUAUUGGGCGUAAAGGGAGCGCAGGUGGUUUCUUAAGUCUGAUGUGAAAGCCCACGGCUUAACCGUGGAGGGUCAUUGGAAACUGGGAAACUUGAGUACAGAAGAGGAAUGUGGAACUCCAUGUGGAGCGGUGGAAUGCGUAGAUAUAUGGAAGAACACCAGUGGCGAAGGCGACAUUCUGGUCUGUUACUGACACUGAGGCUCGAAAGCGUGGGGAGCAAACAGG